rnacentral:lncRNA from 1 species
UAUCAAAUGAAAUCCAGUAGUGAACUAUUUAAUACAUUAUGUACAGUCGGAUUUAAAGGAACACAAAUAGGUUUAAAUAAUUUGAAAAUUUUAAAGUAACUUAGACUUUCCUACAUUAAAUAAGAAAGUAGAACCCGAUUGAGGAAGCCUAACAUAAAAAAAAAAAUAGGAGAGGCAAUAUCUUAAUUUUGAUGUGAACUACAUAACAUUUAAUAGAAAUGCUUCUAACCUCUCACUGCAAAAUAAAAAGGAACAAGUGCUGUUAUUACAAUAUUCCUGGCAAUCCUAACCAAUGCAACAGGAAAAGGAUAAAAAUUAAGAGGCUUACAUUUUAGCAAAGAGAAAAACUCAUGUGUAGAUGUCAUGACUGCUUAUUUAGAAAAUCAAAGUGUGUUAUCAAUUAAAAACUAUGGGAGUGGCCGGGCGCGAUGGCCCACACCUGUAAUCCCAGCACUUUGGGAGGCCGAGGCGGGCGGAUCACGAGGUCAGGAGAUCGAGACCAGCCCGGCUAACACAGUGAAACCCCGUCUCUACCAAAAAUACAAAAAAAUUAGCUGGGUGUGGUGGCGGGCUCCUGUAGUCCCAGCUACUCGGGAGGCUGAGGCAGGAGAAUGGCGUGAACCCGGGAGGCGGAGCUUGCAGUGAGCCGAGAUGGCACUACUG